AACGUAGGACACAAGCGUUAUCCGGAGUUACUGGGCGUAAAGGGCUCGUAGGCGGCCAACUAAGUCCGACGUGAAAUCCCCAGGCUUAACCUGGGAACUGCGUCGGAUACUGGAUGGCUUGAAUUCGGGAGAGGGAUGCAGAAUUCCAGGUGUAGCGGUGAAAUGCGUAGAUAUCUGGAGGAAUACCGGUGGCGAAGGCGGCAUCCUGGACCGACAUUGACGCUGAUGAGCGAAAGCUAGGGGAGCCAAACGGG
rnacentral:rRNA from 1 species